GUAAAGUUUUGUUUAAACCGAAAAAAUAUUGACUGACUUUGGAUUUUUCUUUGGAACAUGUGUUUGGAGAGCCCUCUUUAUUGGUAGAUUAUAUAGGCACAUGUAUGAUUGUUUAGUUUUUAUAUUAUUAGUAAUGCUUUUUAUGAGUAAAAACAGAUAUAUAUUUGGCUAAUGAAUCUAGUUAUCAUGUGUUACUAUUAUUAAUUUUUUUUGGAUAAAUUUAUUUAUUUUAUUUUGAAAUUGGAAAAGAAAGUA
rnacentral:rRNA from 1 species